GAUGUGGCUUUGAAGAACUUUGCCAAGUACUUUCUUCACCAAUCUCAUGAGGAGAGGGAACAUGCUGAGAGACUAAUGAAGCUGCAGAACCAGCGAGGCGGCCGAAUCUUCCUUCAGGAUAUCAAGAAACCAGACCGUGAUGACUGGGAGAAUGGGCUGAAUGCAAUGGAAUGUGCGCUGUGUUUGGAAAGAAGUGUGAAUCAAUCACUACUGGAACUGCACAAACUGGCCACUGAAAAAAACGAUCCCCAUCUGUGUGAUUUCAUUGAGACUCAUUACCUGAAUGAGCAGGUGGAAGCCAUCAAAGAAUUGGGUGACCACGUAACCGACCUGUGCAAGAUGGGGGCCCCUGGAUCUGGCAUGGCAGAGUACCUCUUUGACAAGCACACCCUGGGACACAGUGAGCGCUAAGCCUCAGGCUGGCUUCCCACAGCCACGGGUGACUCCUGGUCACCAAGGCAGUGCAUGCAUAUUUGGGUCACCUUCACUUUUUCUAUAAGUUGUAACAAAACAUCUACUUAAGUUCUUUCCUUAAGUACUUAAGUACCAUUCCUUCAAGUAAAGUAAUUUGG